rnacentral:rRNA from 1 species
UUAUUAGAGAGUUUGAUCCUGGCUCAGGACGAACGCUGGCGGCGUGCCUAACACAUGCAAGUCGAACGGAGAAUCAGGAGCUUGCUCCUGAUUCUUAGUGGCGGACGGGUGAGUAACGCGUGAGUAACCUGCCUUUCAGAGGGGGAUAACGUUCUGAAAAGAACGCUAAUACCGCAUGAGACUACAGAGCUGCAUGGCUCGGUGGUCAAAGGAGCAAUCCGCUGAAAGAUGGACUCGCGUCCGAUUAGAUAGUAGGCGGGGUAACGGCCCACCUAGUCGACGAUCGGUAGCCGGACUGAGAGGUUGAACGGCCACAUUGGGACUGAGACACGGCCCAGACUCCUACGGGAGGCAGCAGUGAGGGAUAUUCGGCAAUGGGGGAAACCCUGACCGAGCAACGCCGCGUGAGGGAAGACGGUUUUCGGAUUGUAAACCUCUGUCCUCUGUGAAGAUAAUGACGGUAACAGAGGAGGAAGCUCCGGCUAACUACGUGCCAGCAGCCGCGGUAAUACGUAGGGAGCGAGCGUUGUCCGGAUUUACUGGGUGUAAAGGGUGCGUAGGCGGAUUGGCAAGUCAGAAGUGAAAUCCAUGGGCUUAACCCAUGAACUGCUUUUGAAACUGUUAGUCUUGAGUGAAGUAGAGGUAGGCGGAAUUCCCGGUGUAGCGGUGAAAUGCGUAGAGAUCGGGAGGAACACCAGUGGCGAAGGCGGCCUACUGGGCUUUAA